AGAGUUUGAUCCUGGCUCAGGACGAACGCUGGCGGCGUGCCUAAUACAUGCAAGUCGAACGGCCUUUUCUAUGGAAGCUUGCUUCCACUGAGGAGAUAGUGGCGAACGGGUGAGUAACACGUGGGUAACCUGCCCAUAAGAGGGGGAUAACAUCCGGAAACGGGUGCUAAUACCGCAUAGUUUUCUUGAUCGCAUGAUUGAGAAAGGAAAGACGGCCUUUGUGCUGUCGCUUAUGGAUGGACCCGCGGCGUAUUAGUUAGUUGGUGAGGUAACGGCUCACCAAGACGAUGAUACGUAGCCGACCUGAGAGGGUGAUCGGCCACAUUGGGACUGAGACACGGCCCAAACUCCUACGGGAGGCAGCAGUAGGGAAUCUUCCGCAAUGGACGAAAGUCUGACGGAGCAACGCCGCGUGAGUGAAGAAGGUUUUCGGAUCGUAAAACUCUGUUGUCAGAGAAGAACAAGUUGGAGAGUAACUGCUCCAGCCUUGACGGUAUCUGACCAGAAAGCCACGGCUAACUACGUGCCAGCAGCCGCGGUAAUACGUAGGUGGCAAGCGUUGUCCGGAUUUAUUGGGCGUAAAGCGAGCGCAGGCGGUUCCUUAAGUCUGAUGUGAAAGCCCACGGCUCAACCGUGGAAGGUCAUUGGAAACUGGGGAACUUGAGUGCAGAAGAGGAGAGUGGAAUUCCAUGUGUAGCGGUGAAAUGCGUAGAUAUAUGGAGGAACACCAGUGGCGAAGGCGACUCUCUGGUCUGUAACUGACGCUGAGGCUCGAAAGCGUGGGGAGCAAACAGGAUUAGAUACCCUGGUAGUCC
rnacentral:rRNA from 1 species